rnacentral:rRNA from 1 species
AGUUCGUGGAGUGAUCUGUCUGCUUAAUUGCGUUUCACCAAGGGUUUAUACUUACACUUUAUUUGUUUAUUUAUUUUACAUCUAAAGUAAUAAGCCCUGAAGGCAACGAACGUGACCGUAACCUCUUGUUGCCUUUACAAAAAACACACUAUUGUGUGUAAAAAAAGGCUUAAAAACUAGAGGGACCGCUGUAUUUUUCUUUAAACCAGAGGAAGGUUGCGGCAAUAACAGGU